UUGGCUGCGGUUAAGGCGAAUCCGUCGCCGUCGUUGUCCCAACAUUAAACACUUGUUGAAAGUUAAAGGGACGCACUUUGACGCGUAAUUUAUGCGCUUAAUUUCUAAAUAACGUUCUGUUUUUUUUUAUGUGAUGGUAUUUGAGUUUUUUUUUGGUAAUUGAACUUUGAAAGAAGAUAUUGCAAUUAUUAAGAUUAUCUCCGCACUAAAGAAAAAAAAUCACAAAAUGCUCGCUAAAAUUACCAGUCAAGAUGACAGCAGGAGAGAUGCAGUAAGAUAGGAUGUCAGGAAGAAGCUAAAAACUUCGGCGUAUUGGCGGAAUGACGCUGAUUCUUUCCGUGAUUCUGACGAUUAUUUGCGCUAUAGGAAUCGCUUUUAACGGAUACACAGUUCUCGUUAUACUUCUAACUAGGCAGGUUCAUACUGCCAACAACAUUUUACUGCUACAACUUGGAGUAGUAAACAUCUUUAUUGGAAUUCUUUUUUUAAUAUUUUGUCUGCCGGGAGUAAAGGAAACAGAAUGGGCCAGGGCAGGCACCUCAUGUACAGUAAAUGGAUUUUUAUUUACUUUUUUGCAUCCCCUUGCUCUGUGGACUAUAUGUGGCCUGAACUGCGAUCGCUACUAUGCAAUCGCCUCACCGCUACAUUAUACUCAUAUUGUUAGUACAAAUAAGGUUAUUAUAGGUUUACUAAUUGGUUGGGUCAAUUCAUUCCUCUUAGCCAUUCCGCCGUUAGUCGACGCCGCUCCAUACAAGUUCCUGCCCGGUUUAGGCGCCUGCGCCCCCGACUUUAGAAGUGGUAAUGGUACCGUGUGGUACGCUUCCACAUAUACAGGGUUCACGUUUCUCAUUCCAGCUACUGUGUUUAUAUGUUGUAAUGCAAAGAUUUUAAUUAUAGCGAGAUACCACCGUCACCGAAUCGCCUCCGCCAUAUUCGAGGUGGCUCUGUCGGCGCAGGUAACCAUCACCCAUCAGCGCAAUCCGUUUUUUGUACCAACGGUAACGGCACCAUCUGCCGGUGGUCCCAAAUUCCGCGGUUCCAACCCUAUUUUGGCUGUUUUUUUACUAGUUGGAUCAUUCCUCGCCAUGUGUGUGCCAUACUAUGUUUUAAUAUUGUUCGAAGCUAUGUCUAAAGAGGUGCAAAAGUCAGAUUUUGGAUUGGCUGAAGGGAUAAAAGUUAAUUAUUUUUAUAUGGUGGCCGGAACUUUGCUGUUAUGUUCACCUGCUGUAAAUGGUUAUUUAUAUGGUCUAAAAAACAAAAGCCUAAAAAAAGCGUUUAUGAACUACUGGAGAAAAAAACAAACAAAAAGUGAAGUAAACCAUGAGAUCCAAGCGAGAACCCCGAGUACUUGUGGAUCGAGGAGACCAUCAUUGACUCCCUUUGGAAUAUUUACCAAAAACGCUGGAGUUUCCAGAAGGAUGUCCGAAACUCUUAUAGAUGUAAAUAAAUCCCUAAAAUGUCCACAGAAAAGUAAAAUUAAGAGAAUCACGUCCGAGUUCAUGUGGAGACCAUCAUCAGCAAACAAUUUAAAUAUGUCCCCUAAGGAAGAACAGCCUCCGAAACCAAUAAAACAAACUAUCAGCUGUAACACUUUAAGGGUCCCAGAAGAAAACAAUAUUAACCCAGACGACGAACCGAGAGUCUCAACAGAAAAAGACGCUACGUAUGAGUUGCCUGCAAAACCUUAUAGUCCCGGAAUACUUUUGCAGAAAAUUUUUAAAUUUGAACAAGAGAAAAUAAGUAAAAAAGGAAUAAAUUUUAGAGAGGGUGGUAGCCCGAAAAGGUUAGAAGACAUAUUUUCACAUUUUGAAUGUUUAUGUAGCAAUUGUGAAACAGGUCACCAAGAAUACUUAUAACGCGAGCGUUUUCGGAAGAAAGCGAUAAAAACUCACAAAGCAGCUCGCCGAGUCGAGAAAUAAACAAGAAACAUUCCACCUCGGCUUCGAAUUUAAUUGAAAGAAAGUGGCGGCAAAUAAAAUAUCAAGAUGAAGAUACUGAUAGCGACUGCGCAAAAUCAAAUUGCACAACGAAACCGCUGCUGGGUAGCAGCAGCUUAAGCAAUCGGUCCUCCGAAUCGUCGGAAACAUCCGGAUCUUCGGGGAAAAUUUAUAUUAAUAUUGAU
rnacentral:misc_RNA from 1 species